AAGCAGAUAACAAAUCGCCGUGA
rnacentral:siRNA from 1 species